rnacentral:rRNA from 1 species
AUGGUGCCAAAUCUUGAAGCUCUUAACAUACAUUCGUCUUAUGUGAGGGAUAUACUGGUGGUACCUGGCAAAUUCCUCCACCUCCAGCAUCUGUGUAUUGGGGCCUUUACCCCAGACUAUGAUUAUUUCUGUCUGGCUUCUUUACUUGAUGCUUGUCCUUCCUUGGAGACUUUCAUAUUGUCUGCAGAGCCGGAUUGCAUGGAGCAAGAAUCAGUUUUAGGAGAUUCUUUUCAUGAUCUAAGGCAGAUGCCAGGACACAUGCAUAGGAACAUCAAGGAUGUGCAGAUCAUUGGUUUUUGUUCUGCGAAGAGCAUGGUUGAGCUGACAUGCCAUAUUCUUGAGAAUUCCAAGCUGCUUAAGCGCCUUAAACUGAGCACCUGUUACAAUGGUGAGAUUUUGUGUUCCUACAACAAUAAUGGUAAAUGUCUCCCGAUGAGUAGGGGUAUGAUCAUGGAAGCCCAUAAAGCUCUCUUGGCGGUGGAAAGAUAUAUUUUGGGGAAAGUUCCCUCAACCGUCGAGUUAAAAGUUGAGGAGCCUUGCAGCCGUUGCAAUGCUCUUGAAAUCUAG